UAAAAAAGGCACCUUUCCUUUUUCUAAAUGUAAUUUCAGCACCACUAGUGGACACAAUGUUCAUCAGGUGGAAGAAAGAUGGGAAGGAAGAAGGAAAAUGAUCAUUGUGGGAUAAUCUACACAGAGACAGAAGGAGUACCAGCAGGGGUGAGAUGGAGCUAAUGCCACACAGAAAAGCAACCAGUGUGUCCAAAACAUCUUGGCAAUACUGAUGUAUUCCCAGGCUUUGGGAGAUUAAAAUACAGAGAGAAGUUUCUGUGAGAGUAAAUUGGGGAAUGUGUGCUGGGAAAGAGACUCCAUCAGGGAAAAGUUGCUUGUGGUAGGAGAAAUGCAAGAGCAGAAACUGGUGAACUGAAGAGGUGCCAUUAAGGUCAGCACUGGGACUUUUUUUUUUUUUUUUUUUUUUUGAGACAGUGUUGUUCUGGUCUGACAGAGGGUCACAAAGCAACUUGUGAGGCUGCUGAGAUACGGUGUUGGGGGUAAAGUGGUGUGAGAUUUGUUGCCAGGCUGACAAAUUCUUGUGACAUCUUUCAGGGCCAGUAGGAAUUUGAAGUGUAUUCAACGCUGUUAUUGGGUUGAACGAUAACACUGGAAA